GAAGGUCCGUUCGGGUUAGUAAAGCUACUUUCAGGUAGGGAGGAAGGUAGUGUAGUUAACACCUGCACUAUUUGACGUUACCUACAGAAGAAGCACCGGCUAACUCCGUGCCAGCAGCCGCGGUAAUACGGGAGGGUGCGAGCGUUAAUCGGAAUUACUGGGCGUAAAGCGCAUGCAGGCGGCCUGUUAAGUCAGAUGUGAAAGCCCGGGGCUUAACCUCGGAAUUGCAUUUGAAACUGGCAGGCUAGAGUCUUGUAGAGGGGGGUAGGAAUUUCAGGUGUAGCGGUGAAAUGCGUAGAGAUCUGAAGGAAUACCAGUGGCGAAGGCGGCCCCCUCGGACAAAGACUGACGCUCAGAUGCGAAAGCGUGGGGAGCAAACAGGAUUAGAUACCCCUGGUAG
rnacentral:rRNA from 1 species